GAUCAUGGCUCAGGAUAAACGCUGGCGGCAUGCCUAAUACAUGCAAGUCAAACGGGUGUACUUGUACACCAGUGGCGAACGGGUGAGUAAUAUAUAGGUAACCUACCCUUAAGACGAGGAUAACCAUUGGAAACGAUGGAUAAUACUGGAUAGUAUAUGUUUCCGCAUGAAGACAUAUUUAAAGGCGCUUCAAAGCGUCACUUAAGGAGGGGCCUAUAUCGCAUUAGCUAGUUGGUGAGGUAACGGCCCACCAAGGCGACGAUGCGUAACUGUGCUGAGAGGCAAAACAGUCACAUUGGAACUUAGACACGGUCCAAACUCCUACGGGAGGCAGCAGUAGGGAAUUUUCGGCAAUGGAGGAAACUCUGACCGAGCAAUGCCGCGUGAACGAAGAAGAUCUUCGGAUUGUAAAAUUCUGUUAUUGGGGAAGAACUUACCUAGUAGGAAAUGACUAGGUAUUGACGGUACCUGAUUAGAAAGCCCCGGCUAACUAUGUGCCAGCCGCCGC
rnacentral:rRNA from 1 species